UACGAGAGGCCCGAGCGUUAAUCGGAAUCACUGGGCUUAAAGGGUGCGUAGGCGGAUGCGCAAGCGUCUUGUGAAAUCCCUCGUCUCAACCGAGGAAUUGCGGGGCGAACUGCGUGUCUUGAGGCAGGUAGGGGUCGUCGGAACGCUAGGUGGAGCGGUGAAAUGCGUAGAUAUCUAGCGGAACGCCAAUGGAGAAAUCAGACGACUGGGCCUGUCCUGACGCUGAGGCACGAAAGCGUGGGGAGCAAACAGG
rnacentral:misc_RNA from 1 species